AUGGUAUUUUUUACGAGCUACAAUUUUUGUACUCUCUACCAGAAAGUUGUUUGGCCAGCUUUGAUGUCACGCUUGCAAUAGCAGGAGAAAGAGAUCACUGGAGCCUUUUGGAUCUGAGUCAGUGGAAUCAGCUACUGUUUCUGUGUGGACCACUCUAUACUACCAGAGAUGAGGAAAGACUUGCUACGUUGGCAUAUAGCAGCGGAGGGAUACAGUCAGGAGGUGACAGGGUUAACAUCACAGGGCUGGUGGUAGGUAUCCUCUUUGGCACUGCGGCCAUAGCCCUGGUGGUCCUAGGCAGCUGGUUUGUCCUCAAGAAGUUCUACUGGACAGGCCCCAUUCCUUUGACUGACAGGUGUCUUGGCCAAUGACCAUCUACCAACCAACCUGUCCACCUCCGAGCUGCCCAAUCUGACAAGGUUUGGGUGUGGACUCUCAAUUGGAGGCAGGUGUUUCUAUUUUCCUCUGAGUCCUAUAUAUAGUCGUUACAGAACUACCCACCAACAAUGGACCAAGCAGCGGAGGAGGGAACAACAGGUGGAAUAUCGUGAGUCAUGGACUUGGGAGGAGAUUCUGGCUGGAGAGGGCCCAUGGAGGAAGUCUGGGGAGGACCGGAAUCGCUACUGGGGAACACGGCUGGCGAGGAAGCCGGAGAGGCAACCCCAAUAAUUUUCUUUGGGGGGCACACGGGUAGGUUGGCUGGGCGAGGAUUAAGUCCCAAGCCAAAUCCCCAUGUUUUUUCCAAACAACCAUUGACUGGACAGGUCCCGUGCUUUGGGGUGAUGGGUGCUGUGACGAGGCCGGGUAUUUUCAGGCCGGUAUGCGCAGUACCAGCGCCCCGCAUGUGCCAGAGGAAAGUGGGCAUCCAGCCAGUAGGGGUGAUGUCAGUCCUGCGCUCGAGACCGCCAGUGCGCCUCUACGGUCCAGUGUUUCCCGUUACACGCACUAGCCUUGAGGUGCGUGUCUCCAGGCUGGCACGUCCAGUACCAACACCACGCAUCAGGCUUCCAGUGCAUCAGCCCAGUCCGACUCAGCCUGUUCCCGCUCCUCGCACUAGCCCGGAGGUGCGUGUCCCCAAACUGGCACUUCCAGUACCAGCACCACGCAUCAGGCUUCCAAUGCGUCAGACCAGGUCAGAGUGUCCGGCAACAGUGCCUCGUCCAGAGUGUCCGGCAACAGUGCCUCGUCCAGAGUGUCCGGCAACAGUGCCUCGUCCAGAGUGUCCGGCGACAGUGCCUCGUCCAGAGUGUCCGGCAACAGGUGAGACGGCGUACUGUCCGGAACCAGGGGAGACGGCCCGCGACCCGGAACCAGGGGAGACGGCCCGCGACCCGGAACCGAGUGAGUCUGCCUGCGGUCCGGAUCAGAAUGAAGUUUACUAUAACUUUGAACUAUGUGAGUCUGCCUACAGCUCGGAACUAAAUGAGUCUGCCUACGGCCCGGAACCAAGUGAAUCUGCCUACGGCCCGGAGUCAAGAAAGCCUGCCUACAGUCUGGAGGACAGUAGGCCAGAACCUAAGCCACCUCCAGUAUAGGUGGGUUGGGGAGGGGGGGGGGUGUAGCACAGGUACCGUCGUUGACGGCAGCCACCCCCCCUUCCCUCCCUUUAGUUAGGGGUUUAUUUUUUUAUUUUUUUUGAGGUGCAUCCGGGGUCUGCACCUUUAGGGGGGGGGUAGUGACACAGCCACACC
rnacentral:lncRNA from 1 species